AAAUAUGUGCAUGACUUUUGGCAGAGGUUUUCACCUUUAACAAAAAUCAUGAACUUUUCUAAUGGGCAUUUGGGAUUAUUGAAAAUAUUUUUAUUGAACCUAGUUGAAUUCAUUUGAUGCUAGGGUUGCAACAAUCCCCAUUUCAAGUUUCUGAGAAAAUUAAACAUGAUGAUAUGGUGACCAUGCAAGGACAAGCAAAGGCUAAACUGGGGCUGUGACAGAUCACCCCCACUAAACAAGAAUCUCGUCCCGAGAUUCAAGCGUAGGGUAAGAUGAAGGGGGAACGCAACUAACGCAAUCUUCACGAUCCAGGUUGCACUUCAAAUGAACGUUGAUACGAUCAGCAUCUUUGCCUCGAUGUCUUGCUCUGACAACUCCAACUAACAUGACAAUGAGAGGAAAGGGAAAACUCCAGAAGGAUCGAUCUUCUCGAAGAUCGAGCAACUCAGGAUCACUCAUCGAGUGAGACAUUGAAACAUCUCUCGAGCUGAGACACGAAACACAUCGAGACGGAUGGAAGAACAAGCGACGGGGUUUGAUUUGGUGGGCAACAAUUCCACGCUUAGAAAGAUGGUGGAUGUUGGCAAGGUGGCGAGGAAAUAAUUGCCAUGAUCCCGUAACGGGGCACCUCGGGGAAGGUGACUCGAAGAACUAUUCCCUUAAGUGGCAAAAAGAAUUACUUUUGAUACAAAGAUCAUUGAAAUUCUUUAUACCAGCCUAAGGCAAUCACAAUGAUCCUUUGAAAGAGCUCGAAGAAAUGGCAUACUCGGACUAGGAUGGACGAUGUGGACUACCUUGUUGAAGACAACGCAAUGGAUGAUUUUUUCUUAUCACCGGAUAUGGAGGGACCCAAAGUAGAAUGGCACAAUGACGGUGCAAGCUGGUAACAAAAUGCAAAUGCUGGGAACUUUCCAACCAUCAUACCUGCCUGAGAUUCAGAUCUGGUUGGUAACAGGGUAUUCCAGAUAGCAUGUCCGGAAAAGGAAAGUUUGCAACACAAACCAACGAGAUGGCGUUGCGAGAUUCUCGGGAGAUGAACUUGGUAGCAAGCUCCAAAACAUGAGCGGGUUCUGCUACAAGCAUGUGAACAUGUUGUCCGAGACAAGCGUGACCACGCGGUAGUCUUAUAAUAAAAUACUACCAAGUUCAGGUUGGGAACCAUCAUUGAGGAUAACGAAGUCAUUACGCUAGUCCAUGGAUUAGAUCCCAAGCAUAAACUUCUCUUCCUUGAACAAAUCAAUCAGUGGCUUUGUGUUCUAGGAACACAUAUAGAAUGGAGGCGGCCAACCUAUCAAACCAUAGAGUACUUCACACAUAUGCGUGACUAAUUUGGGCUGAUUCCAAGGGAAACAAAACAAACCUUUCUCAAAUCCACGGCGGCAACUUACAUCAGAUACACGUGAAUUAGAGGAAGUCACUUCUCUCAUCCAAACAUAUACCUCAGGGACGGGUCUCGAAGGCAUUGUUUACAAAGUUUCCAACACUAGCUUAAUGUCCAACAAAAUCAUGGAGAAGAUAAGUAUGUUGUCGAUGGGCUCAACAACAAUUUAUCCAGGUUUCCAUAUAAGUGGAAUUCCAUAAUUAUGUGAACAAGAUGAUAGCACUGGUCAGACCCAAGGAUAUAAUGGUGUAUGCUCGAGGAAACAACCACGAGUAAGACCACAUUACGAACAUCGUUGGUUCUGAUUUGAUUUGAUGAUAACCCAUACUCAAACCAAGAAUUGGAUAAGACAAUAGGUCCGGCAAUUGAUCACAGGGACCAAUCGAUGAAGAUAUCUUUCUUCAACUAACACACAACACAAGGAUAUCCCUUUGGAAUGAACUAAGUAAGGCAAAGCUUUAUCUUCCAACUCUCCAAGUUGUUGUUUAGCUUAGCCAACUAGCUCAGGGUGUCCAACACAGAAUUCUUGGAGAAGGGGUGGUUACAAGGGAACCAACUUGAUCAUGAGCUCAACAUAGCGGUCAGGAACAACCUGGUAAUACUUCCGAGAAGAUAUUUGGAAAAUCACGAACCACCGAUAUGUUACUAAGCUCGAGAACAACCUUGCUUUUCAGGGCAAGAUGAUAUGAUCAAAAGAGUGAGGGAUUGACAAAAUCCUAACUCAUCGAUCGAAGGGUGCACCAACAAAACUAGACUAGGUAGCACGAUCAAUCCUAGGAUGAUGAUUCAAUAACCAACAUGAUAAGGAUGAGAAUAUUGUCCAUUUACUAGCAAGCAACGAGUUGCUCGGAGUAUAGAUUUCACAAAUCACAAUUCACUUGUCGGCAUUCCGGUUACAACAACACGAGGACCGAGGAAUGAAUGAUGAUGGUGAGAAGUAUCACUGCAUCAAGAAUUCAUAAGAGUUGGUGCAAUUCCUAUGAUAUUCUCGACAUAACGAGGGUAAUACUCCAGGGUAGAACAGAACAAAAGCUGCUUUGGCAUUUGAUCUGCGGAAUACAACUGCUUUGACCAAACCCUAGAAAUGGAUAAGGUACUGGAGUUUGUUUCUCCUAGUCAUUCCGGAAUAGAAUGGCUUGACAGACCACAAGAAUAAUAGGCAUCGAUAGCGAAUGCACGCAUACUCUUGAGUAUCAAAUGAUAGACAGAGGUCAGAAUACAACUAAAGAGAGACGGUUCAAAGGAACAUAUAUCUUUCUGAGUUGUGGAUGCAUAGAUUAGUAUGUCAAACGAGUUCAACAUAAUUCUUCCGGAUAACCCAUGCAGAGAGGUAGGACUGGCAGUCACAAUUAUAGAAUGGAGCACUCACCACAAGCACUCUUGUUGUGAUCUUUUGGUUCAAAAGAACAUCUGCCAUAUUGGUUCAUGGUAUUUGGAAGAAGAAAAUACCACGUACCUCGAGGACUGUCGCAAGGUUACUAAUAUCUUAAGGGAACUAGCAAAUAUUAACAACAUGAAGUAGGGUGAAUCUCGGGUUCGAAACCCAGGAGUAGAAUACCUACUACUAAAUGGCAUCGCGGGAUGCUUUCGAGAAUGGUGGCCAGAAUCAUCACACUGGGAUCACAAACAUGGCUAGAUUACUAGGUGACUCCCUAAAACACCUAGGGUCACAAUAAUAGCUCCAACAAAUAUGUCGAGGCAAAGCAGUACUUCAACACACCGAUUAGCGUGCUUAAUCUGGCCAAAAGGGACAUCGAGAACGGGAGGAAGGGAUUUGCAAAAGCAUCAUACUAGUAAGAAACCUGGGAUGACUCGGACAGCAUAACGGCUGUAAAUGCUCAAAAUGAUUUGAGACAUCCUGCAAAAUGGUGGCAUAACCACUCAACAUCACAAUAUCAAGGUUCUGAGGCCAGCUAUGAACAUAUGGAAGUAGUAGGAACUGAACUGAGGCUUGAACUCAACAAUCCUAGGCAACUACGGUUUAGUAACACGUCAUCCUGAGAGAUAGAAGAGAAGCCUAGUUCUUAACCCCCGUAGAAAAGAAGAGGUUGACUCAGAUCAGAAGGGCAUAAGGUAAAGGAGUAAAAAGAGCCUUACGUUCCCUCCCACAAUCAAUUCCCUUAUAUAACUAAAGCAUUUCUAGACUCAACUUCGACCAGUUUGGCUUGGUAAUCCUACAGGCAGCCAGGCUCUGAUACCAAAGCUAUUAAGACCCCGAUCCUAAGCCACAUCGAUCUAGCAUGUAACACAUCAUAUCACUUUGCGGCCUCACGCACGGUAUUCCCACGGGUGCCACCUUACCUGGCUCGGGACCGUUUGCGCCUUUUGGCUCACGUAUAUGAUAGUGUCACUAGUAUCCAUAUGAUAGAGAACCCGGGACGACAUGGCUAGUUGUGAACCCAAAGCGGUGCUAACCCAUGAGGACAGGCAUACAUGAAUCACAUCGAGCAUGUCGGUCAUCAACGUGUGAAUCCGGGCUGUAGCACUGGGCUAACAGGACUCCGGUAACCCGGGCUGUAGCAGGCUAGGCAGGACUCCGGAAGUCACCGCGUGACAUUUCCCCGAAGGGACAGACACAGGAAUGAAGUGAAACACAUGUCGGCCAGUCAAGUGUUCCGAGCAGUAGUGCUGGGCUAGCAGGACUCCGGUGAACCGGGCUGUAGUGGACUACUAUCGCUCAGAAAGCACUAGAAUACAUUUCCCCAUAUGAUAGGCUACCAAGGAUAAACAACUAGAUUGUUGGAUCCCACUCAUACCAAGCAUUUCAAUCAUACACACAAUAUGCCCGAUAUGAGUACAUACAACAUGGCAUCACAACAAGACUCUACGACUCAAGUAUUAAUUCAUUAGGCUCCGAAGAGCCAGAUAUUACAAACAUGGGUCUCAUGACCCCACAUUCAGAGCAUACAAGCAACAAGCACAUGCGGAAGCUUAACUUGUCUGAGUACAAACAACUACAAAUGAAGAAGGCUCAGAAGCCUGACUGUCUACAAGACCCUCCCAAGGGUACAAGAUCGUAGCUGAGGUAACAAGCUAAACGUCGAAGUCCACGCGGAACUACAAGCGAGACUGACGUCUCUCUGCAAAACAUAAAAUAAGCAAACGUGAGUACAAAUGUACCCAGCAAGACUUGCAUCAGAACUAGCUACAUAUGCAUCGGUAUCAACAAAGGAGGUGGUGGAGUUUAACUGUAGCAAGCCAGCUUUGACUCGGUAGCUAUCCUGGACUACGACUGCAAAAAACUCUUUUGAGGUGGCGCACACGAGUCCACAUAUUCACCAUACCAAUACACCACUAUGGAUCCGCUCUCGUCUCCCUACGAGAAGGCCAUCCAUAGCACUCAAGCUUAUCUUGCGCAUUUUAGAGUAUCCACUUUCACUUGUCUAUGAACUAUGCAAGGGGUCCAAGUUUCCAUAUUCGAGGAAUCCGGCUAUUCGAAUAGAUAAUGAUAACCCUGCAGGGGUGUACUUCUUCACACACGCUCUCACCACAUAUCACCAUGUACGCGUCAUGUACCUCGGCAACCUUCAAGCGGAAGCCGGGCGAGGGUGUCGGCCACGACCUGACUAACCACACAAGUCUCUCGUCCAGGUUUAUCACCUAUUCGGGUUCCAUCCGCAAGGAGAUCCGGCCGGGGUGUCGCUCACGGCCCCAAACAAUGUGUGCAGGGUUCCCAAGCCCACCUCGACGGAUGGAUCUACGCUUGGUACACCGUGCCAUGAUGCCUAGUCUGUCCCAAGCCCACCUGUACCGGGUGCCACUUGGUAGACUACUAACACAACCUACAAACACCAGAAACUAGUUGCAACUCCUGGACAGAGAUCGAGUUGGUUAAUAAGCCGAGAGGGGUCGAGUUGCCGGAACCCAAUGUGUGGUAGUAACUGUUCAUGGAUCACAAACACAGAACUCAGUUCCUGAGGACGGUUUCAAUGAGACAACCCAUCAUGUACUCCUACAUGGCCUCUCACCGCUACCUUUACGAAAUCGUGUUCACACACUUAGCUCUCAAUAGUAGGACAUGUUCACCACAUUCCAAUUCAUUCCCGAUGAAUCAAACCCGACUCAACUCUAAGCAGUAGCAGGCAUGACAACAAGCAUGAAUGAGUAGGCACAUCAGGGCUCAAACAACUCCUACUCAUGCUAGUGGGUUUCAUCUAUUUACUGUGGCAAUGACAGGUCAUGCAGAGGAAAGGGGUUCAACUACCGCAGCAUGUAAUAGUUGAAUAGCUAUUGUCCUAAUGCAGUAAAAGAGAGUAGGAGCGAGAGAGUGGGAUUGUAUCGGAAUGAACAAGGGGGUUUUGCUUGCCUGGCACUUCUGAAGAUAAUACAGUUCUUCAUCGGUGUCAUCAAUCACGUCGUCGGAAACAUCGUCUAUUGAGAGGGAACAACCACCGGCAAACACAUAAAGAACACAAUCAACACAUGGCGAUAUGCAGCAAUAUGAUGCAUGCUAUGACAUGGCAAUAUGAAUGUGUUUUGGGCUAAUGCAAACUAGAACAGAUUGAGAUGAGUCCAUUUGAACCAAAGAUUCAAAUGCAAACCCAUUUUAUGAAGUCAUAUUAGUGCAUUAACUUGUUUCACCUAAACAGCAAGGUUAUUGUGUUCUAACAUGCAUGAAACCAGUACAGAUGGGUAGAUUGGAUUUUUCUGAUAAUUUUUCAUAAAUAAAUUAUUUCAUUUGGAGUUACAGUUUAAUUUCUAUGAAUUUUAGAAGUUAGCACUAUUUUCUGGAAUUUCCUGAAAAGAAUAAAUCCAGAAAAGGGCAUUACUGCGUCAGCAUGACGUCAGGGUGACGUAAGCAAGUCAACAGGGCUGGUCCGGGUCAAACCUGACCAGUGGGGUCCACUGGUCAGUGUCUAACUAAACUAACCUAGUUCAAUUAGCACUAACCUAGGUUAAACUAAUUAAAUUUAAACCUAAACUAGAUUAAUUAGCCGGGCGGGGCCCGCAUGUCAUAGACCAGUGGGUCAAACAGGGCCCACCCAGGUUAACUCGGUUAGCGGGGGUUCAAACCCCUGGCCAGCAGGGUCAAACCUGCCGGCGACUUUACGCCAGUGAGGCCGGUCGCGGCGGCGAGCCUCGGGUUUCCUGUUCCGACGACCAAAAGGGACGACGGAGGCAUCAACAUGAAGCUGGGAGUGCCCCGCAUCUUUCUAUGCGGUUGGGACGGGUUGAGACGGCCCGAGCUCGCCGGGGCGAGGCUCGCGGUGGUGGCCGGAGUUCGGGCGAGGUCGGGGUUGGCGCUAGGGGGCACAACAGGUCGAACGGGUGGGCGCGCCCGGCUCCUAGGAGAGUGCUGAGCACGGGGCAAAGCUCGGGCGUGGGUGGCGGCAGCUGUGGCCGUGGCGGCGAUGAGGCACGGCGGCGACGAGCUUCUGCCGCGGUGGUUAGUUAGGCUAGAGGAGGAAAUAGACGGCGGGAAGAGAGGGGUUUGGUAGAGGUGCUCACGGCGAGGUCGAAGCGGAGCUCAGCUGGCUCAGGGACGACCAGAAGGCGACGACUCUGUCGAUGGAGUGCGGCGGCCGUGCUCGGGGAAGACGACUCGUAGCGGCGAUGUGGGGCUCCCGCGGUGGCGUGGCUCGGGGUGGAAGAAGGAGGGGGUCAAGACGGAGCUCUCGAGCACGUUGGAUGGGCGAGGGAGGGCCGGUGGCCGUGGCAACAGCAAGCGGCGGCGACGGCGCAUUUAGGUGGCUGUGCGCGAGAGAAACAGAGGAGGGGAGAAGCACGAGAGAGAGUGAGGGAAUGGUCGGGGCUACGUGGCGUCGCGAGGGAGGUCCAGGGCGACGAGGGGAAGCGGCAAGCAGGAGGUGGCCGGGGCGCGUGUGCGCGCACGGCGGCCACACGCCCAUCGUCCUUCUGUCGCGAGGAAGACGACAGGGGGGAGAGGCCAGUGGGCUGGGCUGGCCAGCUGGGCCAGCCAGGUGGGCUGCAGGUGAGCCAGGUAAGGCCCAGGUGAGCCUCUGUUCUUUUCCUAAUUUUAUUUCUCUUUUCUAUUUUCUGUAAUUGCGUUUGGCUUUAUUAAAAAUACUUAGGCACACUCAAAAAUCACCAAACUGCUCAUGGCCACUGUUUGGAAAAUAUCCAACAUGGAACAUUUCAGUUUAGGAUUAUUUGAGCAUUUAAAAUAUUUUAUAGCAUUUAAAUGCACAAAUGCAAUUACAAUAUGAAUUAAUUCAAAAAUCCAGAAUGGCCUAGAAAUAUGUGCAUGACUUUUGACAGAGGUUUUCACCUUUAACAAAAAUCAUGAACUUUUCUAAUGGGCAUUUGGGAUUAUUGAAAAUAUUUUUAUUGAACCUAGUUGAAUUCAUUUGAUGCUAGGGUUGCAACAAUCCCCAUUUCAAGUUUCUGAGAAAAUUAAACAUGAUGAUAUGGUGACCAUGCAAGGACAAGCAAAGGCUAAACUGGG
rnacentral:lncRNA from 1 species